CAGCAGCUCGUCUCAAGAACUUCCCCUCGUUACCUUGGGUGGAGCACGGCAAACGGGAUAGAAUGCGGAAACGUGGGCCACCCUCGCUUGGCUUCUCAGAGAACAGGUUUGAUGUCAAUUUCUGUCAAAUGUUUCCCUCGUGUUGAAACAAUGGCAGCAAGAGCGCCACAGCGUCGUCAGCCAUUGAGGUCACGGACGCUGUGAAAGAAAGGGACGGAGGUGAGCCAUUUGACACUGUGUAUGGUGGAUGCGGCCCCGACUGCAUGCUGCAACUUCGACAUGGAGCUUCAGAUAGUCCUGAAGGUAAGAAACAGGAAGUAGGGCAACCGUGGUUCCUGCUAAGUGCUGAUUCCCUUUUGCCUCCAAUUCCCAAUUUGCCACAACAUCUUUCUCUACCUUACCCAACCCCUCUUUUUUUAAUGCUCAUGCUAAGCUCUUUCUCUAGUGCGUUUGGCAAAGGGUGUGUGAGGAAGAACCGAAGAUGCAUUAUAUAUGACCACAGUAACAGAAAUUUGGUAGCUGGAUGCAGUUAGAAUCGACAGUUGGCAGUGGGGGAGGUUGUUGGCAGCAGAGUAAAAUUUUAAAGAAAAAAGGGAGACUAACAUAAAAGAACAGACACCAGAGCAAGAGCAUGGCCUAUGGGCCCCCUUUUGAUACAUUUUCUCUGGUUCCCAAAGUGUUUAAUUUCUAAUAAAGAUGUCUACCACGCGUUCCUUGUCAAAAGCGUACAAGAGGUCCAUCAUAGACCAAUGCCAGGUUGGAUUAGCUUCAGUGCACAAAUCCAACAGAUUUUGAAUUUGUCCUAACUCAAACUAUCUAAAGUUUGACAUAGCUUACAUAGAGGCGUAUUAUAACAUAUACAACAUCAAAAAUAAAACUAUAAAAAUA
rnacentral:lncRNA from 1 species